GACGAACGCUGGCGGCGUGCUUAACACAUGCAAGUCGAACGGAAAGGCCCUGCUUUUGUGGGGUGCUCGCGUGGCGAACGGGUGAGUAACACGUGAGUAACCUGCCCUUUACUUUGGGAUAACUUCAGGAAACUGGGGCUAAUACCGGAUAGGAGCUCCUGCUGCAUGGUGGGGGUUGGAAAGUUUCGGCGGUUGGGGAUGGACUCGCGGCUUAUCAGCUUGUUGGUGGGGUAGUGGCUUACCAAGGCUUUGACGGGUAGCCGACCUGAGAGGGUGACCGGCCACAUUGGGACUGAGAUAGGGCAAAGAAGCCAACGGGAGGGAGCAGUGGGGAAGAUUGCACAAUGGGCGGAAGCGUGAUGAAGAAAAGCAGCGUGCGGGAUGACGGCCGUCGGGUUGUAAACCGAUUUCGCCUGUGACGAAGCGUGAGUGACGGUAAUGGGUAAAGAAGCACCGGCUAACUACGUG
rnacentral:rRNA from 1 species